UGGGCACCUGAUCAUCAAUGCCGCGUGAGUGAAGAAGGCCUUCGGGUUGUAAAGCUCUUUUGUCAGGGAAGAAACACCGGCUCUAACACAGUCCGGGAAUGACGGUACCUGAAGAAUAAGCACCGGCUAACUACGUGCCAGCAGCCGCGGUAAUACGUAGGGUGCGAGCGUUAAUCGGAAUUACUGGGCGUAAAGCGUGCGCAGGCGGUUAUACAAGACAGGCGUGAAAUCCCCGGGCUUAACCUGGGAAUGGCGCCUGUGACUGUAUAGCUAGAGUGUGUCAGAGGGGGGUAGAAUUCCACGUGUAGCAGUGAAAUGCGUAGAUAUGUGGAGGAAUACCAAUGGCGAAGGCAGCCCCCUGGGAUAACACUGACGCUCAUGCACGAAAGCGUGGG
rnacentral:rRNA from 1 species